AAGUCAAAACAUGCUUGCACUUUCUUUGUGGGCAGAAUGGCAGGAUGAAAUAUAAACAGAGCUUGGCUGUGGCAGAUCCUUUUCCUGUUCAUUGCACUGGACCAGUUUAACAUCAUUAAAUUGGGAUUCAAGCAAAAUACUGCCUUGCACAUUGCAUUCAAUCAUUCCUGAGCGUUGUCUAACGGCACCAGCAGAAAAGCACUUUCUGAGCUUCCUGGAAAUACUCUUAUGGAGACAUGCCCCUGACUGCCUGCUUCAGAGAGAAUACAAUCAUCCAUGAGAAGAGUGCUGGGUGGAUUGCUAUGUUCCCCUGAGAACUGGCCCAUGUACUGCCUGAUGCGGCCCACUUGACCUUGCUUCAUGGUAGGGCUGGCCCUGCUUUGACCUAAAGAUUAUUUUUCUGCACUUCUACAGAGCAGGCAAUUUAGUUUAAGCCAUUAACAAAUUUAUUUAUUUAUUCAUUCAUUCAGCCAGAAUAGGCGUGCAUCCGGUCUGGACAAAGGUCUAUUAUUUAGAGCUCAGAGACUUUAGUGGGAAUAAGCAGCUGCUCCCCCACUGAAUCUUUUGCAGAAAACUUGCAUUUCCCCCGGGGUCUCAUAUUCAACCUGCCCCCCCCCCGCCGUGAUCACACACUGCCUAGUGAUGCAGAACCAGCAUCCUGCACGCUCCUAUGCUCUUCCUCUUGCUCCAUGGUGGUGGCAUUGGCUCCUCUGAGGAGGGAGGGGGCUGUUUCCCCCCCUUUAUGCAGAACCAGCAUCCUGCAUGCUCCUCCCUCCUCCUCUUGCUCCACAGCAGUGGCAGCGGAUCCUCUGAGGAGGGAGGGGGGCCAUUUUUCCCCUUUCCAGCCCCCUCACUUGGCUUUCAGUUAGAUCCGGAUGGCGUUUUGCUCAGUGCUUGGGAGAUGGGAAGUAAUGAUAGCUGGCAACCAAACUGAACUCCAUGUCCCCCACCCCCAGCGUCCCCCUGCCCCCAGCACUUGCAAUUGCAAAUCACUGAGAGCAGACCACGCAGCUGUCAAACUCCCCUUCACUGUGUUUUGAAAAAAGCUGAAUGGCUGCCAAUGGCCACUCCACACAAGCAGUGGGGAAUACCAGAAAGCAUGGCUUUUCCAAAAAAAAAAAGCUGCUGCAAACAGAGGAUUCUUUUACCCCUGACAUAAUGUGAGCCAAGCAAGAAUGCACAGUAAUUCUUAACAGUAAUUUGGGGGAAAACAGAGUCAGGUGUGUACUCAUCCCUGAUAGACUGCAGGGACCUUGAAGUAAACAAAAUUAAUAUGUGGACUUGCACACUCUUAUCCAGAGUGGAUUUGAAAUAAAAGCCAUGUCUGGAAAGCCUCCUGCUGAAUUCUUCAGAAUGUUAAUGGACAUUCCAUAUUACUGAAGAAGCUUGGCCAAUUAGGGAUGUGCACGAAACCAGCUGACUUGGUUUGGUUCAAGUCCAAACCGGACUUGAAAAUGACCAGGCUAGUUCAGUCUGGCACACCCUCGAACCCCCCUGGUUUGGUUUGGUCCAAGGGGGUUCACGGACUUUUUAAAAAAACUUUUUUUGUUGUUAAUGUCACUUACCCCCUGUGGUGGAGUUGUUGGAGGAGGCGGAGGGGUCCGUGGAGGUCCCCCCCCCCCGCCAGCCUCAAUGCAGCCUGAACCGGCCAGUUCAGCUGGCUCUACCCCCUUGGCCACUUUGGGUGCCGCUGCACCUGCGCAAUUGGCCUCUGAGAAGCCUGGGUCAUUCCAGGCCUCUCAGAGGCCAUUUGCGCAGGUGUGGCGGCCUCCAAAAUGGCCAUCGUGCUGAGGUGGAAGGCCUGAACGGGCUGAAGAGCUGGUUUGGGCUGCAUUGAGGCCAGUGGGAGGAGGGGGAGCCUCUGUGGAACACACAUACCCCUGCCGCCUCCAACAACUCCCCAAGAGGGGGUAAGUGAUAUAACAUUUUUGGAAGUAUUUUUUUAAAGGCCACGAACCCCUGAACAGUCGGGGGAUGUUCGGUCUGGGGUCGGACCGAACAGGGGGUGGUUCGGUUCGACCCCGGAACAUUGAGCCAGUUUGCACAUCCCUACGGCCAAUGUGUGGAGGAAGGCCUGAUUUAUAUAUAACCCAACAAGUGACUAAUGCAGAAUCAAAGUCAACAGAGUGUGAAUACUUGAAUUGUUGGUAAAUGUACAUACUCUAGUCCAGGGAUUCUCAACGUUGGGUCCCCAGAAGUUAUUGGACUUCAACUCCCAUAAUCCCCAACCAAAGGUCA